AUAUCUGAAAUUCGCUAGGUAGAAUGUUUGAUUUCGGCUCAAAAAGUUAUAGGUUCGAAUCCUAUCAGAUAUU
rnacentral:tRNA from 1 species